UACAUAUAGAUAAGUCUGGUGAGCUGAGACCUUCAGUGGGUCUUGUGAUGCGUGUUGGCAUACCAGUAUUUAAAAUACAUAAGUUAUGGGAGUCAAUUAACUCCAAUAAUUGGUCACCAUAACUAUUGGAUGAAGAGGAACCCCAAGUCUGAUGAAAGCGACCAAAUGUGACGGGAUGCAAUGUUGUGUUGCUGUUAUCAUCUGAGAAUUCCCUCUGGACAUGAAUUAUAUAUGGUGCUGCAUCUGAUGGCUGAUACCUAGUGCGAGCAAUAGGUGUUCGAGUGAUUUCAGUGUUUUGUGUAAUAUUAUUGUUAAGAGCAGUAGAAACUGCAUUUUGAGAUUUGGAAUUGACUUCAGAAUCUUUAUUAUUAUAUUGAUCUAU